rnacentral:rRNA from 1 species
UACGUAGGGCGCAAGCGUUAUCCGGAAUUAUUGGGCGUAGAGAGCUCGUAGGCGGUUUGUCGCGUCUGCCGUGAAAGUCCGGGGCUCAACUCCGGAUCUGCGGUGGGUACGGGCAGACUAGAGUGAUGUAGGGGAGACUGGAAUUCCUGGUGUAGCGGUGAGAUGCGCAGAUAUCAGGAGGAACACCGAUGGCGAAGGCAGGUCUCUGGGCAUUAACUGACGCUGAGGAGCGAAAGCAUGGGGAGCGAACAGG